rnacentral:rRNA from 1 species
AUGGAUCAGCGGGCGAGGCACCCUCCCGGCAUCGGCAACGGCCGCGGCGGGAAUCCUAACUACCACGGCCGUGGCCCGCCGCCGACGCAGCAGCAUCACCAGCAGCCGUCGCCGCCUUCGCCGCAGCAGGCGCAGGGGCACCCGCAGCAGUACAUGCAGCGGCAGUCGCAGCACUCGCAGCACUCGCAGCACCACAGCCAGCAGCUUCAGCAUCAGCAGUGGCUUCGGCGGAAUCAGACCGCUGGCGAGGCCGCCUCGGGCGCCGCCAGAGCCAGCGAGCACCACGCGCCGGCUGCCGCCGAUGACGCCGAUUUGAGUUCGCAAGACUGGAAGGCCCAAUUGAAGCUUCCACCUCCAGAUACACGCUACCAGACCGAGGAUGUCACUGCAACUAAGGGAAACGAAUUUGAAGACUAUUUUCUGAAGCGUGAACUUCUUAUGGGCAUAUAUGAGAAAGGAUUUGAAAGACCGUCUCCUAUCCAAGAAGAAAGCAUUCCUAUUGCAUUAACCGGCAGCGACAUUCUUGCAAGAGCAAAAAAUGGAACCGGCAAGACUGCUGCAUUUUGUAUACCUGCGCUAGAGAAGAUUGAUCAAGACAAAAAUGCUAUUCAAGUUGUUAUAUUGGUCCCCACGAGGGAAUUGGCUUUACAAACAUCACAAGUCUGCAAGGAACUUGGGAAACACUUGAAGAUUCAAGUCAUGGUCACUACUGGAGGAACAAGCCUAAAGGAUGAUAUUGUCCGUCUUUAUCAACCUGUGCAUUUACUUGUGGGGACGCCUGGUCGUGUUUUGGACCUUACGAAGAAAGGCAUUUGCAUUCUGAAGGACUGUUCAAUGCUUAUUAUGGAUGAGGCAGACAAGCUUCUUUCUCCUGAGUUCCAACCUUCCGUGGAGCAGUUAAUUCGAUACCUUCCAUCGAGUCGACAGAUUCUGAUGUUCUCUGCAACAUUCCCUGUGACUGUCAAGGCUUUCAAGGACAAAUAUCUGCCUAAACCCUAUGUUAUUAAUCUUAUGGACGAACUUACACUGAAGGGAAUUACCCAGUUCUACGCCUUUGUUGAAGAAAGGCAGAAAGUCCAUUGUCUGAACACUCUUUUUUCCAAGCUGCAAAUUAAUCAAUCUAUAAUAUUCUGUAACUCCGUAAAUCGUGUUGAACUACUGGCGAAGAAGAUCACAGAGCUUGGUUACUCUUGCUUCUACAUCCAUGCUAAAAUGCUGCAGGAUCAUCGUAAUAGAGUAUUCCAUGAUUUCCGUAAUGGCGCAUGCAGGAACCUUGUGUGUACAGAUCUUUUUACAAGGGGAAUAGAUAUCCAAGCUGUUAAUGUUGUUAUCAAUUUUGAUUUCCCCAAGACCGCUGAAACCUAUCUCCACAGGGUUGGUAGAUCUGGGAGAUUUGGCCACCUUGGCCUGGCUGUGAAUCUGAUCACCUACGAGGAUCGUUUUAACUUGUAUCGGAUUGAGCAGGAGCUUGGAACUGAGAUAAAACCCAUACCUCCUCAGAUAGACCGGACGAUAUACUGCCAAUAG